AGGAAGGAGCCACAGGCAGUUCAGAGAGCCAGCCCACCUCACCUUCAGGCUUCUACUGUAGAGCUCCCUGUUCCUUUUUGAAGCCAGCAGAAGCAGGCACAACACCUCUAAAAAGGGGGAAGGAAGGAGCACAGGCAGGCAGAGAGGCCAGCCCACCUCACCUUCAGGCUAUCUGACUGUAAGAAGCUCCCUGUUCCUUUUUGAAGAAGCAGAAGCAGGCACAACUCCUCUAAAAAGGUAAGAUAAAUACCAAAGUAAAUACAACAUAAAUACAGCUUCCCCAAAGAAAAGAAUAGAAAAGAGAAAAGAAAAAGGGAAGGGAAAUAAAGGGAAAGGGAAAUAAAAGGAAA